rnacentral:lncRNA from 1 species
GAACUUUUUCUCCAACUCUGGGAAGAAUCAAUGAUUCAAUCAGUCCUCUGGCAGAUGCGGAAAUUCUCAUAUCAGCGGCCUUAUUUUCAGUGAUAAUUUUCUCAUUUAUGUCAAUAUUAUUCAUUUGUUACAAGCGAGGUGAGUUUGUUUCGUGCUUCCUUUUUUUUAAAAAAUUACUUAGAGAAACGGAAAAGAUUAAAAAGAUUUUUAAAAAUACUUGAUAUUUCCUCUAACAUUUUUAUCAGUACUUGAAAAUAUUUUUAUUCUGAGGAAUCGAUCACUUCGGAAUGUAUGGUUUUGAAUUUUUAACCAUCACCAUAUUUUCAACAUCCUUGCUGUAUAAUGAAACUUGCUUAUCUGUGCAGGAUGCAAAAGGGAAGGAGCACCUCAGACAUACGCCUCACACACGUUUUCUAGUAACACAAAUGAAAAAAAACAGCAUAUGAAGAUGCAAGAUCAAUAUUUUACAACUGUGCGGAAACAUUCUUUCUCUUCAGAUAGAGAGAUUUCAACCUUUGAACAAAUCCCUGAGUAUUCAGAGGACAUAUAUCCAUACGCUACUUUCCACCUGAACAAACCUGCUGAGGCUAGAAUCAAAUCUGAUGCAUCCUUACAAACAUUUACUUAUCAUGAUCCACAUUUCACAUCCGCAGAAACAUUGAAAAUAAAAGAGAAUAAUUACCCAAGCGUCAAAAAUCUUCUCCAUAAAAUGAAAUCUCUUAAGUCUGAAAGUGAAGAAUAUGACGAAUCAGAAAGUGAGUCAGAACAUACUAUUUCUGGCCAAGUCGAAUCAGGAUUUAGGUCAAAACAAAGCUUCAAUCGAUUUCAUCGAAAUAGAUUACACAAGCUCGUGUCAAAAAGAGAUCAUUUAGAUUCUUCCCCUGGCCAGAAACGGAUACUUUCUUGCCACAAGCCCAUGUCAAAGUAAGUUUUCCUUUCUUAUAUUUACCUCUAUCAAUUUAGAAACAAGAAUAAACUUUUUUUUCUGGUUUUUAAUGUGAGGUUGCUUUUUUAGCUACCUUCAAAUUGAACUGUUCGGUUGAAAAACUGGCUAUUUCACUUUAAUCUAACCGUUUUAGUCAAGAGGAAAGAUACAUUUAGCCUAGAUCACAUUUUACUCAUUGUAAUGACCGGAAUAACCAUUAAGUAUGUAUUAUUUAUUCUUAAUAAUAUGACUCUUGAUUUCUCCAUGAAGCAAUGCCUGACCUCUAAUUGUACUUUUUCGAUUUUUUCUAUCAGGGGCCAAAAAUUGUCCAGCAGUGCACAACUGGAUCCUCCGUCAGAGUUCUCUGACACGCGCGAGUCAAGUGAAGCUGAACGCAACUUAUUCAUGAACCAAAGACGCCUGGCAGACUUCACAAUUGCAGUUUAAUCAAUGCAAACCAGUGACUGUGACAACAGCGCAAUAGCACAAGCCCUGCCAACGUGUUAUUUUCGCGUUAUUUUUGUUAGACCAACAUUUGGCCUAAUUGAAAGAUCCCGAUCAGGUUCCUGCUAUACUGAUGCAGGGCACUCAUGUUUUAUAUUAUUCUGUGAUUUUUUUAAUUAAAUGUUGGAGUCGUUUCUCUCAUAAAAUGAGAGGGUGCUGAGUUUGAAGAAAAAAGCUGACUAAACUUAUUAUUGUGCUCAACUUAUGUUUGUUUUCUGGAAGAUUUUAGAAAACCAUCGUGUUUUUCACCGUUAAAAAUUAUCUCAUUUUGAGGUCAAGAUGUUACAAAAAGUUACCACUGUACUUAUCCUCUCUGGCAUUUCUAUAUUCAGGUUUCCUUUGAUUUUUUGAAGUGGAGUUGCAUAAGACUUUUUACCUUGAAUGAACCUUCUUUUUAUCUGUUUUGUGUUCAUCUCAACCAUCCCUUGAAUGAUUUAAUGCACAAACUCUUGUAAUUACAGUUUACUUAUAGCUCAUUCUGGUACUUGAUUGUUGUUAUUAUUUUUUGAUUGUUUUAUAAAAUUUUGAUACU